rnacentral:rRNA from 1 species
GAGUUUGAUCGUGGCUCAGAAUGAACGCUGGCGGCAUGCCUAACACAUGCAAGUCGAGCGGCAGCGCGGGGGCAACCCUGGCGGCGAGCGGCGAACGGGUGAGUAAUGCAUCGGAACGUGUCCUCUUGUGGGGGAUAACCAGUCGAAAGACUGGCUAAUACCGCAUGAGAUCGAGAGAUGAAAGCAGGGGACCGCAAGGCCUUGCGCGAGAGGAGCGGCCGAUGCCGGAUUAGCUAGUUGGUGGGGUAAAAGCCUACCAAGGCGACGAUCCGUAGCUGGUCUGAGAGGACGACCAGCCACACUGGGACUGAGACACGGCCCAGACUCCUACGGGAGGCAGCAGUGGGGAAUUUUGGACAAUGGGGGCAACCCUGAUCCAGCCAUGCCGCGUGUGUGAAGAAGGCC